GGGCGGGGCUCGCGGGCCGCGCUCCCGGGACGCCGGCGGAGGCGCCGAGGCAGCCCCGUGAGCAGCUGGCGGUUGGCGUUGGCGUUGGGUCCGGCGCGCGCGCCCGGUGAGGGCCCGCUGACGGAGGCGGGCGGGCUGGCGCGCCGGGCCCGCAGGCGUCCCCGCCGGACGGCGGCUGCGGCCAGCGCCUCCCCGGCGGCGGCGACGGGCGGCGGGUCUCCGCGGGCUCCGUCGCUCCGCCGGCCCCUGAAAAGCUUGUAGGCCUCCAAAUACUGCGUCGAUAAUGCCUUUUGCCAGAAAAUGGUGGUGGUGAGGACUUGGAGAACGUCAGGCUUGUUCUGAGGCAGUACUGCUGCGCGAGAGACCAACAAGCAAAAGCCUAGAAACAAGCCAGCUGUCCAUCCACAGUGGGGCGCAUACACAAAUUGGGAUGUGCUCAUGUAACGGAAUUUUACCCUGGCAUGAAAAAUCCACGAACCACAGCUGCAAGCAACGAUGUGGGUGAGUCUCUACAACAGCAUUGAGGAAAAAAAAAAAAAAUUUGCAGAAGAAUACACACAGUAUGAUUCCACUUACAUAAAGUUGAAAGCCACACAGAACGAAACAGGAUGUUACUUAGUGAUGCAAACGUGUGGUAAAAUCAUAAAGAAAAGCAGGGGCAUGACCACCCUACCGAAGAAGGGAAGGCAGAGAAGAGAUGGGGGAGAGGCAUGCAGAGGGAACAGCAAUGCUCAUUGCUUAAACACGGCGGCCAGGGCACGCCUCACAACGCCUUGUCACCUUGUCGUUUAUGCAUCAUAUAUGUUGUAUAAACUGUGUCCAUUCAAUAUUGAAUAAAGGACUUGUUUUAAAAGGCACUGAAACCUCUGGCAGCCUAAACUGUGGG